AAUGGGGUGACUGAUUUUAGGUGGUAGAUUGUAAAUUUAUUUAAGGUUUUUAACUUCCCAUUA
rnacentral:tRNA from 1 species